CCUAAAUGCCCAUUCUCUUUUCCCCAUCGACUUCGCCUCUCCACAAUUUCCCUUGGCGCUUCAGUUCUCACUCUCUCUCUCCACUUUCCACGGCCGACCACAGGCGCCUUAGCUCACUCUCGUCUCUCUUUGACUUCCACCGUCAACCGACGGCGCCUCAGACUUCACUAUUGUCUCUCUCUGCCUUCCACCGGCAUGCUCACUCUCAUCGCUCGCCUCCCAGGACACAAAUCAUUAAAAAAACUGGAGAGAAAUGCAUCUGAGGGAAAAACUAAGUAUGUUUUUCAAUUUUGUGUUUAUUUAAAAAUUUAAACAUGGGUUGUUGUUGAAUUUUAUUGUUUAAAGAUUUAUUUUGGAUGUUGGCACUGCCGCACUGAGAACAAUUGAACAAUGGUGUGUAGAUGGUUGGCGAGGGUAAUAAAGUCAUUUGCAAUUGCGUAGAUGGAGGCCAGGAAGUUCAGUACCCAAAAACUGAGACCAAAGCUUUACUAAUGGGCAUUUUGGUUGAAGCACAUAGAAUCCAUAAUUAGAACUUGAAUACCAAAUAUCGCAUCAUUAAUUAACAAAAGCAUUGGUGUACGUGAAUCUGAGAUGGAUCACCUUGGAAAGCCUAUUGUCGUUGAUGUAGAGUGGGCUGAAGUUUUGUUUGCUGAUGCUUUCUUAGCUUUUGAGGAUGCUGAUUUAACUGAUGACAAGGUAUGGAUGCUUGUAGUUGUUAAAGAUCUUAUUUUACGCUAAGCUUAGGUACAAUAAGCAAUUUUCCUAUUGAUUCUGAAUACAAAAUUACGUCGUACCUAGAUAUUAACAAAAUUUCUGUUAGGAUCUUCCUCAAGCUGCUCAAAGUAAUUUCCGGGCUCAGUUAACCAUUAAACAUCGAAUUCAAACACCAAACCGAGAGAUGACCGACCGCCGGACUGCUCACUUCCUAUGGUUGUUUUUCUCUUUUGCUUGUUGAUUCUACCACACACUUAGGAUGGAUACCACACAGGUAAGAGUCACAAAGCCUCAAGCAAUUGGUAGGGAAGAUAAAUCACGAAGAAGAAGGCAGCAGUUCUCUUUCUCUCUCGGGUUCUUUCAAACGGGACAAAGGAGAAGGAGUUUAACUACCAAUAUAUAUAUUAGUUCAAUGGCCAACUUAAGGUAAGUCACAAUUUGGUAAGUAGGCUUGACUAGGGUUAAGUCCCAAUAGAAAAACAACAAGUCACAAAGAUUAUUAGCCAUCCAAUAGGUAAAGCAACCCUAGGUCGGUUCAUCCAUUAUUCGGUG